GUCCCAGCCCUAAACGAUGUCCACCAGGUACCGGGGAGUCGACCCCUUCCGGCGCCGCAGCUAACGUGAUGAGUGGACCGCCUGGGGAGUACGGCCGCAAGGUUGAAACUCAAAGGAAUUGACGGGGCCCGGCACAAGCAGCGGAGCGUGUGGUUUAAUUCGAUGCAACGCGAAGAACCUUACCUGCGCUUGACAUGGCAUUGCACCACCCGUAAUGGGGUGUCCUCUUCGGAGGCGGUGCCACAGGUGCUGCAUGGCUGUCGU
rnacentral:rRNA from 1 species